CCGUGUAACUUGCUGGAUCUUGUGCGAGCCUUUUGAGGAGGAAGCACAGAGCUGGAAUCCCCGCUGCUCUUCCCUCUUCCCUCUCGGUUGACUGGCCUUUCCUUUCCUUCUUCUGCCGUCUGUCGGCAGGUCCGGGCUGCCGAUCUGAAAGCCUUUAUAUUAUCAUUGUACAGCAUCUCGGCUAUGAAAUUCCCCUGAGCACCACUUUAAAUGUGUUUGUAAGUUUUGAUAAGCUGUGCCUCUGUUUGCAUCAAAGCAUUUUCAGUUGUUCUUUGGACCCUCUGCCUGUGUUUCUGAGUCCAAAUUCUCUAUUUCAUUCUUUUUAUAAAAAAAAAAAGAUUUACUUGUUUAUUUAUUAUACACUGUAGCUGUCUUCAGACACACCAGAAUAGGGCAUCUGAUUACAGAUGGUUGUGAGCCACCAUGUGGUUGCUGGGAUUUGAACUCAGGACCUCUGGAAGAGCAGUCAGUCACCACUGAGCCAUCGCUCCAGCCCUCUAGUCCAUUCUUUUCAAUAGUUUGUAUGUCAGGUGAUUUGAAUAGGAAUGGCUUUCAAUGUAUUUAGAUGCUUGGAGGAAGUGUGUCACUGAGGGUCGGGUUUAGAGUUUCAAAUGCUCAAACCAGGCCCAGUAUCUCUCUCUUCCUGUUGAAGUUUGAGAAGCUUUGGAGUCUGUCCACACCCUUAGCUCCCGCAUGGGUGCAACCCUGACCAUGCAUUCCUGUGGCCUUCCCUCGCUACUGCGUUCCGAGAAAGUUCUUCUUAGUCGGCUCCCCACUGCUUCUUUUUACUAAACUUUAUGCUGCCUGGCCACUUUUUCUCCUCUCAGAGCUUUCCCUGGGCCUCAUCCUUGCUGCUCAUCAGGCCCUCUACGCUUUCAAAUGACUUUUCUCCCUGUUUCCAAUGAAGUUAAUCCCUAGAGUAAAUGGUUGAGCUCUCUGUCCAACUGGAUAAUUUUGUCAAGGCUUCCUUUCCCCGGAGUGACAAAUGUUCUUUUUCUAGUGCGUGUGCUAGAGUGAAAACGACUUGUUCUCCUCAGCAUGGGAACUCGCCUUCUCAGUGAGAGAGCUGCUGCGGGUGGAAGCAAUAGAGACCCAUCUAUUCUCAACCUGUAUCAUCUGAGGGAGGUGGGCGGGCAGAGAGGGGCCCUUCUCCCCAAGAUGCAUUGCUGGAAGAGAGCUUCCUAAGACAGGACCAGGCUGGGAGCUGGCGAGGUAAGAGGGCCAAGGGAAGGUAACACUUCAUAACACAGAGCCAGAGAGGCAGUAGAUGAGGCAGGAUAUAGCUCACAGCCCACACUUUUAAGAUUUCAUAGACUUUCUUGAGUGACCGCUCCUGUUUCCUGUAGGUCCUUUUAAAUUUUUCUAGGUUUUUUUUUUUUUUACUGCCCCCUCCCAUUUUCCCCUCCUUAGCUGUGAGUGUCUGAAAAGCCUGCUAAGCUCCCUUCUCAUCCCAGAAGUCCUGGCUCUGCCUGCAUACUUUGAUCUUGAGAGUUAAUUGGGUUGAUGAGUGAUGGCUCCCUCCGCUGGGGAAGACCAAAAGCUAAGACAGUCAUUAAGAGCAGAGAGGAAGAAGUAAUGACUGGUGGGUGUCACCUAAAACCAGCAGUUUCUUAAUAAAAAUUCUGGUUGCCUCUUAAAAUUCAAAGUGGCACCAUGCGCUCCCUCGCUUCUACCUGCUACCGAUCUGGCCUGGCAUUGCGUUCAUACAAAGGUGUAAUAUAGUGUUGAAGUCAGCAGGAAAGACAUUGGACAAAUGAGGACAUGGGUCCCAAGAGGACAGGACGGCAUGCUAUUCCGGCUUUCCAAUUGUUCUGAAUGAAAUGAGAAAUAAGAACCAAACAACAGAUGAUGUCUUUCAAUCGGUCUUUCCAAGGCAGCCAUGGCUUAGGGUAGCACACUUUACUCCUUACUCAGCCAUGUCCACCCAGGUUUACGUCCCCCGAAGAAUAUGCUUUCUUUCCUGAGUCACAGAGUCUCAGACAAAGAGAUCAGUUAGAACAUUCUAGCACAUCAGCAAAAAUUGUGAAUUCCAAUCCAAAUGCAAUUUGAAGUUUAAAGACACUUGAAAACGUUUGAAAAUUAAAAAAAAAAAAAUUCUACCUUAAAGUGGUUACUAUAUCAGUUUUGUUUUUAAAAAUGUUUGGGAAGUACUUCUUUGAGGCUGAUGAAACCACAGUAUUUAAUGAUCUGUGCUAUACUUGUUCUGCUGACAUGGUUGUGCCUGAGUCUCCCAAGCUGUGAAUUAAUUUUUCUAAAAAUCGAUAUAAAUCUAACAGAGCACUUCGAAUUUCCGUCCACAGAACUUCCAGGUUUUUUUUUUCUAUAACCUAAGUGUGUAGCAUGUAGAUAUGACUACAGUCUGAAGACGGUUUUGAUAAUUUUGUCCAUUCCAUGUCCCUACGUGUCUCAGCCAUAGGUGACUGGGCAGCUGUCUCAUAAUGCUUAUAGCAACCUGCCAGAUGUUUACAGGAACGUUCUAGAAAACUAUAGAAUGCUAAAAUGUAAUCUCUGGGGAAACCGAGGUGAGGAAAAUAUUCACUGUUUUUUUCCCCUAGAGUUCAGUAUCAGGAACUAGUUUUAGAUAGAAAAGUAAACUCCGGUUCUUGUCUGGAGAGGUGGCCCAGUGUCUAAGAGAGGGCACUACAUUGCCCAGGACCCACAUCAAGAUAGCUCAUAACUAUGCAUUGUAACUCCAGUUCCAGGCCACCUAAUGCCUUCAUCUGGCCUCACCUCAUUAAAAUUAGGAAGCAGACAGGAAGGGGCUUCCAGGAAGACCCUCAAGGACUCAGUUCCUCCAUUUAGACUCUGCUUCCUAACAGCCAGUUGGUCUGUGAAUCCCUCAGUGGAUUGAUCACUGUACUCGGUUGAGACUCCUGUGAUUGAGUCACUGCUCAAUAGUGCCACCCUCUGGGGCUUGUUUCUUUAACGCAUGAGCCUUGGGGACUGUAGGAACUUCACGCCCAAAACCAACAGAGACAGAAGCUGUGUGGUGUAAUCUCUGAAGAGACCGAUUCACUUGCCCAAGUUCAAGAAGGGAGUGAUGUAGUCUAAAAACUUCAGGAAGCAUUCGUCUCUCGAAAAUCCAAAGGAAAGACUGUACUCCCCUGAGAGGAACUGGGGAGAGACUAGGCCAUGGACUCCGGAACAGGGCCAGAGCUGACAGGGUUUCCCAUCACAAGGAAGGGGCCUGCAGCGGAGGGAGCUAGGCAUCAGCGUCGGCAUCAGUAUGCUAUGAGUCUUCCAGGAGUGGACCCCAGCAGUGCUCCGGAUGGCAUCACGAGGGAUGAACCACGGUCAGGUUCGACCUUCCAUAGCGAUGGAAUGGGUCCUCAUUAGGUAUGUGUUUAGUGGCCCCAAGGCCAGGGUCACCCACUUUCCACAUGCUUCCAAGGCCCAGGAGCCACCCUAGCCAUUAUAUCUCCUGCCACGGGGAGAAAAGUAGAGUGGUCAUGUCCAUCAGACAACAGACCUUUCAGAAGCCUCUCGGAAAUCAUUUCUCAUGUCUCACUCACCAGAACUUGGUCGUGCCGGAAAGUGGCUUAGGGAGAAGGAACCAGGAAAGGUGUUGAGUUGGGCGUAACACCGGUACACCACCUGAUGCUACCACUGAGCCCUGAAGAAGGCUAGUGGGUGUCUCCAGCCCACAGAGAUGCUACACUGAACAGCUAAACCUGUCUUCAUAUGCUAUGCUUUAACAGGAUCUCUGGACGUGCAGCGUGGAAGUCUCUAGAAAGCUUCCUCUAGGUCAUCUUGGUACAGCAUACCACACAAGUUAGAGAGUUUACACUUCCCCUCUCAUGAGUGUAUUUAUAUUUUCCAGGAAGAGCUAAAACUAUGGACUUGGAAGGAAAGAGACUCAAGUUGUUUGCCCACUGUGCCAGUACAUUUAUUUUGUGUGUGCUUGUGUGUGCGUGCGCGCGCACGUGCGCACGUGCACGUGUGCACGCGUGCGUGUGUGUUUGAGUGCAGGUGCCUGAAGAGGCAAGAAGAGUGUGUCAGAUCCCCUCGAUCGCAGUUACAGCUGUUUAUGGGUGGCUGUGAGCUGCUCAGCAUUGCUUGGCAACCAAACCCAGGUCUUCUGCAAAGCCAGUCACCACUCUAAUCAACUGUGCUAUCUCGCUAGCCCCACAUUUUGUUUUUAAAAGAACUCUUUAAAUGGAGUUUAUUUGGGCCGGAUAUGAAUGGCCCUGACCCAGGAAUGUGGAUUUACACUCCCCUGAGUGAUGUGUUCCUUCCCCAGGACCCUGUGUACAAGGUGGGUGCUAGUUUAAGCACUUAGGUUGGUCUGUCCGUUCCUGCUCUACUCCUCCCCCUUGUGGCAGCCACAGUUGUGGCAGGUGUUUGGGGGAGUGUCUUGGGUGGUCCUGAUGAGGCUGAACAAUGAAGGUGAUCUCAUUCUCUUGGCAGUCACUGGUGUGAAAACAGGCUGUGAGCUGGCUCACUGAGAUUCAAAGGGAAGGUUGCUGGGGCUUCUGGGAAAUUCUCGUCUUUGGUUAGAGAGAAACCCUGGGAGUGACUCGUUUCUACCUUCAGCAGAUGUGAACAAGAAAGUCAGCAAUGCUGAUUGUUUCCCACUGCCAUCCUGUGACCCUGAAGGGUGACUCUGUAAGGAAGCUGACUCUCUGGGCUGCAGCCUACAGUCAGAAUGCGAUCCUAGAAAACAUUGCCAGGACGCUAGAUGAACUGCCCCAAGUCUACAAAUGUGCAAAUGCCCAGAUAUACCAGCCCCUGCUUCACUACUGCAUGUAUGUAGUGUACCAUGUGUGUGCUUGGUACCCACAAGAAGGCCAAAGAGCUUUGGAUCCCCUGAAUCUGGAACUAUGAAGGGCUGUGAGCCCAUAUGUAUGCUGAGAACUAACAGAACCCAGGCCCUCUGCAAGAGCAGCAAGUGAACUUAUCCGAUAAACCAUCCUGCAGGCGGUAUUGGUGUUUCUGCUACACUGAAAACAUCCUAGCUGCCCCAGCCAGGUGCACUGCCCUUUCAAGAAAGCAGGAGGACGGAGGAGACAUGCUGUGCCUGGGACACAGACUGUUGCCUCCAUACCCUGGAAGAGCUAAUUCGUGGAUUUCCAGAUUGUAAGAAGAGCUCAGACACAUGGCAGUUAUUCCGAAGCUGGCUUUUGGGCUUGUCACACUUCCUGCGAGUUUGGGGCUGGGCUCUUUCCUGGGUAGCAGUGUCUUCUGGAAGCUCAGAAGACUUCACAAUCAUGCUAAGUGUCAAAGCACACUUAUCACCAAGGUCAGGGCAACAUUAAGACUUUUCUUCAUGUUUAAUGCGGGCAGUGGUGAUGAUAGAGGAUAAGACAGAUAUAUAGCAGAUAGAGGCUUUUGGUUUUCUAUCAUCACACUGGGAAAAGUUCCCUACCUUAUUGUGGGUGAGGAGGCAAUGGGUCCCCAGUGGCUUUUUAUGCUGUGGAUAAAAUGCCUUAGAAAUACAGCAGCAGAGAGAACAAAUGCCAAAGACCUUUUUUAGAACAGUUUUACAAACGCAGAAUUGAAAGCAGCUGGUCAGUCCUCCACAUAUAGCAAAUAUAGCUCCUUGGAGAUCUCCAUAGCCAGUCGCCCUGCUUGCCCUUCAGAUGCCGCGGGGAAAGGGCAAUAGAGACGAACCACCCAGGACCUCUCACACUCUGUUAUAAAGUCACUGCUCUUCAGAGAACACCAGCCAACCAAAGACAAACAGCAACAAAUUGUCAAAGAAAAUCGUCCCAAGGAGUGACCAUUAAGAGACACUCCAGGGGCUGGGAGUUGACUUGGAGGGUGAGAGAACAUAAGCUUGAAGACUUGAGUUCAAAUUCUCGGUACCUGUGUAGCCAGGCAUGACUGUGCAGGCCUGGAAACUCCAAACCUGUGUGAAGGGCAGACAGGUCACCAGUGAACCUCCAGGUUCAGAGAGAGACACUGUCUCCAGAGAAUGGGCAGAGAGUAAUAGAUGAAUUGGCUUCUUUCUCUGAUUCCCUGUGUACACAUGGGCACACACACAUGGGCACAAAUACUUAUAUGCAUAACACCCUAUAUUCCUGCACCCACUGAACAACCCCUGUACAACGAUCAGACCUACUAUUAUGGCUUGAGUCUGAAGCAUUUCCCAAAGGUCAUGUGCCAAAGGCCUAGUUGCCAGUCAGAGACACUGUUGACAGGGGGCACAAUCUUUAGGAGUCGGGAUCUACUUAUAGGAACAACACUGUUGAGAAAAUGUCCUUGAAGGACUGUGCUUUCCAGUAGCCAUGAGGUGAGCAGCUCCGCGUCACCAUGUUGUUCUGCCUCACCACGGGCAAUGUAUAGAGGCCAAGUGCCCCUGCACUGACCAAAACCUCUGAACUGUGAGCUAUCCUACCACCCUGCUAAAACAAGCACCAUCAUGUUUAUCUUAUGGGAAGGCGAGGACUAGGCACAUAUACCUAAGUGUAUACCAUAAGUGAUCGAUGGAACCACUGUUAUUUUAAGCAUUCAAUAAAGUAUUAUUAAAAGUCAAAA